CGCAGGCCUUGUCCUCGUCCCCAACAUCCACAUCGCUGCUCCCAGCAUGGGGUGACCCAUCCUCCUCCUCCCUCCUCAGGUUUCAAGUGUGAGGUUAGAGUAGGAGAGUCCAUGUCAGGAAUGCAGCUGCUCUCAGCGUGAAGUCGACUGUGGUGGAGUCUGUGCAUUCUCCACACAGUCAGGAGUCCAGAGUCGUCAGGCUGAAACCAACAAACCUUCACUAUACUCACCUGAACACCGUAUUACAGGAACAAGAACAUCUGACCAACCUUUUAAAGUCCUUAGGUUGGCAAUGUUUUGUUUCUACUUUAACUUUUCUUGACCCUUACAAAACACAUUAGAUAUAGUCUGAAAACCCAGCUGUAACAGUGGAUGCACAGAGUUACUGGUUCUCAUUCAAUUCUGUCCAUUGCUUAUCAAAAUAACUGUAAAAUGGCAAAAUGCUGAACUCUAGCCUUCAAAACAGCAGUCCAAAAGCACUGGUGAGUUUAUUCAGUCCACCAUUCAUACAUAGUCCAGAUAUUCAUACUCAACUAUAACCUGUAUUUGAUACUAUGAAAUGUAGCUUUAGUGUUGGCUGAGUGUGGGAUGUACAACUGGAAUUUGACUUAGUCAGUGUCUCUCCAAUUAUAUUUUUUGUUAUAAAAUUAUUUUGUUGGGUCGUAUUAGCUUAAAAAUGAGUUUCUAGUGGUUUGACAAGCUAAAUUAUGCUUCUAUUACUUUACACAAACAAUCCUGCUUAAAUAUUAAAGGUUUUUAAAACAUUGCAAGGCUGUGUGGUGGUAUGGUUAGCACUGUUGUCUCAUAGCACGUAGGUUCUUGGUUUGAACCUUGGCUGAGGUCUUUCUGUUUGGAGUUUGCAUGUUGUUCCCAUGCAGAGGAUCCCAUGGAUUUUAAUAAAUCCAAAAACAUGCACGUCAAGCUGAUUAGUAUUUCUAAAUUCAAUAUGAGCAUGGGUGGUUGUUUGGCCCUGUAAUGGACUGACGACCUAUCCGGGAUGUACCCUACCUCUUGCAUGGUAUAGGCUCCAGCCCCUUCUGCAUUGGAUUAAAUGGGUAUAGCAAAUAGGAGGAUGAAGCGAU